rnacentral:rRNA from 1 species
UACAGAGGUCUCAAGCGUUGUUCGGAUUCAUUGGGCGUACAGGGUGUGUAGGUGGCGCGCUAAGUCGGGUGUGAAAUUUCGGAGCUUAACUCCGAAACUGCAUUCGAUACUGGCGUGCUUGAGGACUGGAGAGGAGACUGGAAUUCAUGGUGUAGCAGUGAAAUGCGUAGAGAUCGUAAGGAAGACCAGUGGCGAAGGCGGGUCUCUGGACAGUUCCUGACACUGAGGCACGAAGGCCAGGGGAGCAAACGGG